rnacentral:rRNA from 1 species
CCUACGGGAGGCAGCAGUGAGGAAUAUUGGUCAAUGGACGCAAGCCUGAACCAGCCAAGUCGCGUGAAGGAUGACUGCCCUACGGGUUGUAAACUUCUUUUAUAAGGGGGUAAAGUGAGGCACGUGUACCUUUUUGUAUGUAUUUUAUGAAUAAGGAUCGGCUAACUCCGUGCCAGCAGCCGCGGUAAUACGGAGGAUCCAAGCGUUAUCCGGGUUUAUUGGGUUUAAAGGGAGCGUAGGUGGGUGGUUAAGUAAGUUGUGAAAGUUGGAGGCUCAACCGCAAAAUUGCAAUUGAUACUGGCAGUCUUGAGUAUAGGUGAGGUAGGCGGAAUGCGUGGUGUAGCGGUGAAAUGCUUAGAUAUC